AUAUAGAACUAGGCUACUAUACUAUCGGUAGCACGGAGCGCUCCGUGCUACCAAAUUGUUUUCGAUGAUGCGGCUUCCAAAUCGACGAUCGGCUCCGUUAGACUUGAUCUGUACUAUUGAAAGUAUUUAGAAACUAAAUUUCAUAAUUUUUCGAUAUCAUUUACCUAUCAAACAAGUAGUCUAAAAUUGAACGGCUGAAAAUAAAAAUCUCAUGAAAAAUAAUGAUAAAAGAUUUAAAUUCAAGAUCAGAUAUACUGAUCUUACUCUAAAUAGUGGAAAGAAUUUUCUAUAAAAUUUUCAUCGCAUUUGGAUUAUUUUACACCGUUAAACUGACAAACACACCACAUUGGCCAUUAAAAUUGUCAAUUUUGAGAUCUUUUGAUCACUAGUCAAAUGAUGUCGAAAAAAUUUGAAAUUUAGUUUCCAAAUACUUUCAAUAGUGUAGAUCAAGUCUAACGGAGCCGAUCGUCGAUUUGAAAGCCGCAUCAUCGAAAACAACUUGGUAGCACGGAGCGCUCCGUGCUACCGAUAGCAUAGUAGCCGGACUCAUAUA
rnacentral:lncRNA from 1 species